ACCUGGUUGAUCCUGCCAGUAGUCAUAUGCUUGUCUCAAAGAUUAAGCCAUGCAUGUCUAAGUACAACUCGAUUAAGGCAAAACGCGAAUGGCUCAUUAAAUCAGCUAUGAUUCAUUGGAUCAGUACCACACAGAUGGAUAAAUGUGGUAAUUCUAGAGCUAAUACAUGCACCACAUCUAAGGAAGGGCAACAGGCACGCAAAUUACCACUCCCGCACGGAGAGGUACUGACGAAAAAUAACGAUGCGAGACUGACUCAUUGGAGGCCUCGCAAUCGGAAUGAAUACACUUUAAUAAAAACCUAUAACGAGGAUCUCUUGGAGUGCAAAGUCUGGUGCCAGCAGCCGCGGUAAUUCCUCCAGCUCCAAUAACUCCAAUCCUCCAAACAGAUAUCGCCCUAGUUCUAACCCUAAACGAUGCUGACCAGCGAUCCGCCGGCGUUAUUCCCAUGACCCGGCGGGCAGCUUCCGGGAAGCCAAAAUCUUUGGGUUCCGGAGGAAGUAUGGUUGUAAAGCUGAAACUUGACGGAAUUGACGGAAGGGCACCACCAGGAGUGGAGCCUGUAGCAUAAUUUGACUUAACACGGGGAAACCCACCAGGCCCUGACACCGGAAGGAUUGACAGAUUGAGAGCUCUUUCUUGAAUCGGUGGAUGGUAGUGCAUGGCCGUUCUUAGUUGGUGGAGUGACUCGUCUGGUUAAUUCCGAUAACGAACGAGACUCCAGCCUACUAACUAGUCAACAUAUCUCCAGCAAUUGGUGUCCAGUUUGCAACUUCUUAGAGGGAUAAGCGGCAACAUCAGCCGCACGAGACUGAGCAAUAACAGGUCUGUGAUGCAACUAGGCUGGAGAUUCCGUCACGCAACCCGCUGGCGGCAUUUCCACACGAGCCUAAUCUGGCGCUACAGAAGCGUGUGCCGUGAUGAUGAAAAACAAAUCUCACUGUUGCAGCAGGACGGAGAUACGUUGUUGGGAACUAUAAGACGGCAUCGCUUACUUCCACCUGGCACUCCUCAUUCUCAGGUUUGAUGUUGACAGCCUUGUCUUGCCCGCACAAUCCCUUUCUUUCAUGAGAAGCUUCUGGGUGCUGCGGCUCCUCGUGGCGGCGCACGGUACCGUGUUUGCCAAUGCGAUCAG
rnacentral:rRNA from 1 species